rnacentral:rRNA from 1 species
GCGUAAGGAUGCGUAGGCUGGAAAUCAAGUCGAGAGUGAAAUCCAACGGCUCAACCGUUGAACUGCUCUCGAAACUGGUUACCUAGAAUAUGGGAGAGGUAGAUGGAAUUGGUGGUGUAGGGGUAAAAUCCGUAGAUAUCACCAGGAAUACCGAUUGCGAAGGCGAUCUACUGGAACAUUAUUGACGCUGAGGCAUGAAAGCGUGGGGAGCAAACAGGAUUAGAUACCCUGGUAGUCCACGCCCUAAACGAUGCACACUAGUUGUUGCGAUGCUAGUCAUUGCAGUAAUGCACUUAACAGAUUAAGUGUGCCGCCUGGGGAGUACGGUCGCAAGAUUAAAACUCAAAGGAAUAGACGGGGACCCGCACAAGCGGUGGAGCAUGUGGUUUAAUUCGAAGAUACACGAAGAACCUUACCUGGGCUUGAUAUCCUAAGAAUCCUGUAGAGAUAUGGGAGUGCUAGUUUACUAGAACUUAGAGACAGGUGCUGCACGGCUGUCGUCAGCUCGUGCCGUGAGAUGUUGGGUUAAGUCCCGCAACGAGCGCAACCCUCGUGAUUAGUUGCUAACAGUUCGGCUGAGCACUCUAAUCAGACUGCCUUCGCAAGGAGGAGGAAGGUGAGGACGACGUCAAGUCAUCAUGGCCCUUAUGCCCAGGGCUACACACGUGCUACAAUGGCUAGGACAAAGAGAAGCGAUACUGCGAAGUGGAGCAAAUCUUAAAACCUAGUCUCAGUUCGGAUUGGAGUCUGCAACUCGACUCCAUGAAGCUGGAAUCGCUAGUAAUCGUAGAUCAGAUAUGCUACGGUGAAUACGUU